GAAAAUUUCCCUUUGUUCCUUCCAAAUGACAAUCGAAACCACCUAGGAACUGGAUCCAGAGUUUCCAUUGGCAAACUCUGGCAAUGAGGAAUUGGCCAGCUUAACGAGAUACUGCAACAUGGAGAGGUACCACCGAGCUCUCCUGUGAGAGUGUCGUUAAAUCACUGCCACGGGCGUGCCAUGGAGCCAGGCACGUUCACGCACCCACGCGAGGCAUUUCCUUUUCACAGGGACUUUCUUUAGGCGUUCUUACAUGGGAACUUCUUCCAAAUAGCCUGCUCUCACGCCUCCGAGAAGGCCCCCCCGGGAUUAUAUUUGGAGUGACAACACCACACCUUCAGUGCCUUGAAUUAUUUUCUUCCUUCCUAAUGCCUCCGUGGGUGUAAGCUGGUGAUACCAUAGGCGAGGCGUUAAUUAUUGUUUCGAGUCUGUGAAUGUUCAAUAUCGGAGGACAGUGACAAUUACUAUUUUAUGAAUA